UCUUACUUAUUUGUGUCUGACUAUCUAUGUUAUUAUUUGUUUGCAUUGGGAUAUCAACUAAUUUUUGUGUUUGAAUUACUCCUGAGUUUUCAUGAGUUGUUCCUACGUUGCUUCUAGAUUGAUCUUGAACAACUCUUGGGUUGUUCUAAUUUUCUUCUUGAUUAACCACCAUUUCUUUGAUUAGGUUACCCCAAGGUAGUCCUACCAUUAUAUU
rnacentral:lncRNA from 1 species